CCUGGUGCUGCCCCUCUACCCGCAGUACUCCGCGUCCACUUCGGCCUCGACAUUCGACGCUAUUGCCCAUGAUU
rnacentral:tRNA from 1 species